UCCAAAGGCCUUAGUGCCCAGCCCGGCGGCAAGCUGGGCGGGCGGGAGGAGCACUGCGCAGGCGCGGGGCGACGCCCAGCAGCCAAUCCUAGCCCGCGCCGGGCCGCAGACUUUGGCUGGCUCCACCUCAGCUGCAGGUUUAGGGCUUGAGAUUUGAGUUUUCCAGCAAGUUGAGUACGGCCAAGGCCGCUGCAGAAUUCAUUCCUCAGAGCACAGGAAGGUUUACUUCUCUUUUUCUUUCGAGAAGUUUGUUUUAACCACUUAAUGGUGGUGUUCAAUUUAGUAUAAGACUAUAUCCCUGAAAAGAAGCGUGUUUUCAAUUUGGCCUUAGAGAAAAAAAAAAAAGAAAGAUUACUGAUGCAACCUCGCGUUUUGCUUUGUUUCUGUUUUAGAUUGCUUUGCCAAAACCGGGGAGAUUUGAAUUAAGGGUGGGGCAUGGCCGGGAUGCAGCAGUGACCCACCCCGCCCUGAAGGCGCGAGCUUUUUUCCAGCCAUAACAAAGAAAGGGGAAGGAAGCCUCUUUCAAGUAAUAAAGGAACAGCUGGAUGGAAUGGAAGAAGAACCUCCCCUCACUUGUCACCUUUAGCUGCCAAGGGCUGGACAUCACGCUGACUUUGCUGAGUAAAUGAAUGGUGGAACUAUGGACAACUCCACUGACCCCUGAGCUUGCUGGAACAUUCUAGCACCUCCAGAAACAAAUCCAGAGUUUAAUAGAUCCAGCUUGAUUGGCCUUCUGCAAUGGAGGAGAAGAGUGAGCGCAAUUGCAGGGGAGCUGUGGAGAAUCUUAGAAAUAAAGAAAAGUAGGCAUUAUCC